AAGAAGCUAGCGGCGCGGGCGGUAGGCUUAACACAUGCAAGUCGAACGGAAACGAUGAAAAGCUUGCUUUUCAGGCGUCGAGUGGCGGACGGGUGAGUAACGCGUGGGAAUCUACCCUAUAGUUGGGGACAACAUAUGGAAACGUAUGCUAAUACCGAAUAAGCUCUACGGAGUAAAGGAGCCCACUUCCUGAAAGGUUUCGCUAUAGGAUGAGCCCGCGUUAGAUUAGCUAGUUGGUAAGGUAACGGCUUACCAAGGCCACGAUCUAUAGCUGGUUUGAGAGGAUGAUCAGCCACACUGGGACUGAGACACGGCCCAGACUCCUACGGGAGGCAGCAGUGGGGAAUAUUGCACAAUGGACGCAAGUCUGAUGCAGCCAUACCGCGUGUGUGAAGAAGGCCCGAGGGUUGUAAAGCACUUUCAGUAGGGAGGAAGAUGUUAGGGCUAAUACCCCUAUUGUUUGACGUUACCUACAGAAGAGGCACCGGCUAACUCUGUGCCAGCAGCCGCGGUAAUACAGAGGGUGCAAGCGUUAUUCGGAAUUACUGGGCGUAAAGCGCGCGUAGGCGGAUGAUUAAGUCAGUUGUGAAAGCCCUGGGCUCAACCUAGGAACUGCAUCUGAUACUGGUCAUCUAGAGUUUAAGAGAGGGAAGUGGAAUUCCAGGUGUAGCAGUGAAAUGCGUAGAUAUCUGGAGGAACAUCAGUGGCGAAGGCGACUUCCUGGCUUAAAACUGACGCUGAGGUGCGAAAGCGUGGGCAGCGAA
rnacentral:rRNA from 1 species